GACGAACGCUGGCGGCGUGCUUAACACAUGCAAGUCGAACGGAAAGGCCCUGCUUUUGUGGGGUGCUCGAGUGGCGAACGGGUGAGUAACACGUGAGUAACCUGUCCUUGACUUUGGGAUAACUUCAGGAAACUGGGGCUAAUACCGGAUAGGAGCUCCUGAUGCAUGGUGGGGGUUGGAAAGUUUCGGCGGUUGGGGACGGACUCGCGGCCUAUCAGCUUGUUGGUGGGGUAGUGGCUUACCAAGGCUUUGACGGGUAGCCGGCCUGCGAGGGUGACAGGCCACAUUGGGACUGAGAUACGGCCCAGACUCCUACGGGAGGCAGCAGUGGGGAAUAUUGCACGAUGGGCGGAAGCCUGAUGCAGCAACGCCGCGUGCGGGAUGACGGCCUUCGGGUUGUAAACCGCGUGCGCCUGUGACGAAGCGUGAGUGACGGUAAUGGGUAAAGAAGCACCGGCUAACUACGUG
rnacentral:rRNA from 1 species